ACGAACGCUGGCGGCGUGGAUUAGGCAUGCAAGUCGAACGAGGAUAUAUCCUUCGGGAUAUAAGCCGAGUGGCGCAAGGGUGAGUAAUGCAUAGAUUACCUGCCUCCGGGAUAAGGACAACUUUGUGAAAACGAAGCUAAUACUUAAUAAUACAAAAGAAAAUAAUUUUCAUUUGUCAAUGGGAGGGUAGCAAUACCUUUUGCCUGGAGAGGGGUUUAUGUCCUAUCAGCUUGUUGGUGGGGUAAUGGCCUACCAAGGCGAAGACGGGUAGCCGGUCUUAGAGGAUGGUCGGCCACACUGGGACUGAGACACUGCCCAGACUUCUACGGAAGGCUGCAGUCGAGAAUCUUUCGCAAUGCCCGAAAGGGUGACGAAGCGACGCCGCGUGAGUGAGGAAGGCCUUCGGGUUGUAAAGCUCUGUCAGGAGUUAAGAAAUGUAAGUGUGCUAAUACCGCAUUUAUUUGACGAAGGCUCCAAAGGAAGCCACGGCUAACUCUGUGCCAGCAGCCGCGGUAAUACAGAGGUGGCAAGCGUUGUUCGGAAUUAUUGGGCGUAAAGAGCACGUAGGUGGGUUUGUAAGUCAGAUGUGAAAGCCUUCUGUUCAACGGAAGAAUUGCAUCUGAAACUGCGAGUCUUGAGUGUAGGAGGGGAGAAUGGAACUUCUGGUGGAGCGGUGAAAUGCGUAGAUAUCAGAAGGAACGCCGGCGGCGAAAGCGAUUCUCUGGCCUAUUACUGACACUCAGUGUGCGAAAGCUAGGGGAGCAAACGGGAUUAGAUACCCCGGUAGUCCUAGCCGUAAACGAUGGGCACUAAGUAGAGGGAAUUACCGAUGUUCUCUCUGCCGUAGCUAACGCAUUAAGUGCCCCGCCUGGGGAGUACGGCCGCAAGGCUAAAACUCAAAAGAAUUGACGGGGGCUCGCACAAGCGGUGGAGCAUGUGGCUUAAUUCGAUGCAACGCGAAAAACCUUACCUGAGCUUGACAUGCACGGGACCGCUCUAGAAAUAGAGUUUCUCUUCGGAGCCCGUGUGCAGGUGCUGCAUGGCUGUCGUCAGCUCGUGUCGUGAGAUGUUGGGUUAAGUCCCGCAACGAGCGCAACCCCUACCUUUAGUUGCCAUCGGGUCAUGCCGGGGACUCUAGAGGGACUGCCGGUGAUAAACCGGAGGAAGGUGGGGAUGACGUCAAGUCCUCAUGGCCUUUAUGUUCAGGGCUACACACGUGCUACAAUGGCCGGUACAAAGAGUCGCAAGACCGCGAGGUGGAGCUAAUCUCAUAAAGCCGGUCUCAGUUCGGAUUGGAGUCUGCAACUCGACUCCAUGAAGUUGGAAUCGCUAGUAAUCGUGGAUCAGCAUGCCACGGUGAAUACGUUCCCGGGCCUUGUACACACCGC
rnacentral:rRNA from 1 species